rnacentral:rRNA from 1 species
UUCCAGACUCCUACGGGAGGCAGCAGUGGGGGAUAUUGCACAAUGGGGGAAACCCUGAUGCAGCGACGCCGCGUGAGCGAUGAAGUAUUUCGGUAUGUAAAGCUCUAUCAGCAGGGAAGAAAAUGACGGUACCUGACUAAGAAGCCCCGGCUAACUACGUGCCAGCAGCCGCGGUAAUACGUAGGGGGCAAGCGUUAUCCGGAUUUACUGGGUGUAAAGGGAGCGUAGACGGCUGUGCAAGCCAGAUGUGAAAGCCCGGGGCUCAACCCCGGGACUGCAUUUGGAACUGUGUGGCUGGAGUGUCGGAGAGGCAGGCGGAAUUCCUAGUGUAGCGGUGAAAUGCGUAGAUAUUAGGAGGAACACCAGUGGCGAAGGCGGCCUGCUGGACGAUGACUGACGUUGAGGCUCGAAAGCGUGGGGAGCAAACAGGAUUAGAUACCCCGGUA